AUCAUACGAUCAUCCUUUAACUCAUUAACGUUUCACUUUUCCCAACGUUCUCUAAUUAAGUCUGCAGGCGAAAAAUGGAGUUUGCCAUACUUGAAUUCACUACAACAAAAAGGCUUAUCAGCAAUCGCAUAUCUGCAACCGUAGAUAGUCACAGAUGAGUAUUAGCGACCGAAUGCGGUCGCUGAUAUUAGUCGCAGGUAAUCUGGU
rnacentral:lncRNA from 1 species